rnacentral:lncRNA from 1 species
CUGGCUCCAUCCGGUGUCAGUGACUUCCCUUGCAGGUCCUGACGGCAGCCGCGUUCCCAUCGACUCCAGCUUUUUCAGCAUCGACGAAAUUCUGCACCAACAGAAUUGGCACUAGAGGAAGGGCUUUUUUGUGUCUUCGCAGGACCCUUGUUCUUAAAAGAGUACUCAACGGGAUUGUCUCCGGCUAUCUUCUUCGACAUCUUCUUCCUCUUCUCCU